rnacentral:rRNA from 1 species
AUUGAACGCUGGCGGCAGGCCUAACACAUGCAAGUCGAGCGGAUGACGGGAGCUUGCUCCUUGAUUCAGCGGCGGACGGGUGAGUAAUGCCUAGGAAUCUGCCUGGUAGUGGGGGACAACGUUUCGAAAGGAACGCUAAUACCGCAUACGUCCUACGGGAGAAAGCAGGGGACCUUCGGGCCUUGCGCUAUCAGAUGAGCCUAGGUCGGAUUAGCUAGUAGGUGAGGUAAUGGCUCACCUAGGCGACGAUCCGUAACUGGUCUGAGAGGAUGAUCAGUCACACUGGAACUGAGACACGGUCCAGACUCCUACGGGAGGCAGCAGUGGGGAAUAUUGGACAAUGGGCGAAAGCCUGAUCCAGCCAUGCCGCGUGUGUGAAGAAGGUCUUCGGAUUGUAAAGCACUUUAAGUUGGGAGGAAGGGCAGUAAGCUAAUACCUCGCUGUUUUGACGUUACCAACAGAAUAAGCACCGGCUAACUUCGUGCCAGCCGCCGCGGUAAUAC